rnacentral:rRNA from 1 species
AUUGAACGCUGGCGGCAUGCCUAACACAUGCAAGUCGAACGAGUGGCGGACGGGUGAGUAAUGUCUGGGAAACUGCCUGUUGGAGGGGGAUAACUACUGGAAACGGUGGCUAAUACCGCAUACCAUCAUAUUUGCCCAGAUGGGAUUAGCUAGUUGGUGGGGUAACGGCUCACCAAGGCGACGAUCCCUAGCUGGGCUGAGAGGAUGACCGGCCACCCUGGAACUGAGAAACGGUCCAGACUCCAACGGUAGGAAGAAGUGGGGAAUAUUGCACAAUGGGCGCAAGCCUGAUACAGCCAGGCCGGGUGUAUGAAGAAGGCCUUCGGGUUGUAAAGUAUUUUCAGCGGGGAGGCGUUACCCGAAGAAGAAGCACCGGCUAACUCCGUGCCAGCAGCCGCGGUAAUAC